UGGGGAAUUUUGGACAAUGGGCGAAAGCCUGAUCCAGCAAUGCCGCGUGUGUGAAGAAGGCCUUCGGGUUGUAAAGCACUUUUGUCCGGAAAGAAAUCCUUGGGCUCUAAUACAGUCGGGGGAUGACGGUACCGGAAGAAUAAGCACCGGCUAACUACGUGCCAGCAGCCGCGGUAAUACGUAGGGUGCAAGCGUUAAUCGGAAUUACUGGGCGUAAAGCGUGCGCAGGCGGUUUGCUAAGACCGAUGUGAAAUCCCCGGGCUCAACCUGGGAACUGCAUUGGUGACUGGCAGGCUAGAGUAUGGCAGAGGGGGGUAGAAUUCCACGUGUGAGCAGUGAAAUGCGUAGGAGAUGUGGAGGAAUACCGAUGGCGAAGGCAGCCCCCUGGGCC
rnacentral:rRNA from 1 species